AAUUUUCUCUCUCUUCUUUUCUCCUCCUUCCCUCUAGAAACUCUUCAUCUCAGUUCAUCUUUUCAAUCAUCUGACCACACUUAAUCACUCUUGGUAUCAAGAACUCCAAUUUUCACCGAUCAACGUCUCAUUUAGAACGGGUUGGUCCGUUACCGCAAAUUGGCGAACUGUAGGUUCUUGAGAUUUUCUGAUAUUAGGAGCAAAUUUUCGAAGUGGUAGAGUUGUUCGGUCCAGUUAAGAGAAGGUGCAGAAGUUUCUCUGGAGCAGGCGCUAGUAGGAAAGGAUGCUAGAGUAAGACCGUUCGGUCUUGUAUUUGAUUUUGCACUUAGUAUAGGACCGUUCGGUGUAAUGCAUUGCUUGUAGGACCGUUCGAUUGAUACACCUCUUGUAUGACCGACUGCUUUUAUGAUUUGUAUUAGUUUAGGUUUCUGUAAAGUUUUAAUUUAUGUUUAUUUUAGGAUAACUGUAAGUUAGUUUUAUUUUCUGUAACUGUUCUAUUUUAUUGUGAA